UUAAAGGUUAAAAAAAAAAAAAAAACUCACUCGUGCUUAGGUUUAGCGAUGUAUUUUAAAAAUUUGUUGAUUCACAGGAAGUUAACUGAGGCCCCCUAGUGGACCGCGGCAGCUAACUAGUCAAUUAAUAAUUUAGGUUUAAACCGCGUACUUUCCUUCUUGAGACUGCUGUUUCAUACGCUGUUAUGAACAGCUUUCAUGUGACUGGAUUUCUCAUCCCAUCUGGUCGGCAAGGUGCCCCAAUUUAUCAGACGUUUAAGGUCGACAAGUUCAGCUCUAACCAUUGCCAUAUUUUGCUCCAGGUUUAAUAUAAACAGGGUAUCCGAGUUCCUGGCAGUGCCAGCUGGAAGAACCACAGGCCGAUGCCAACAUCCCCCUUUUACCUGGCAUUGUGCCCUCUGCGUGCCCGUGCCGUGCACUGAGUUGCCGCGACAACCAAAGCAGUGAAGUGGAGCAGUCCCAGCUGCAGCCCAGAGCACAUUUACAGCAUGUGAACCUCUGGGGUCAAGCACAGGGCAGCUGCUCAAAACACAACUGAUCUCAGCUUUGUGGGCAGAUCCCAGUCUCCAUUCCUGCUGCCUUUUGCCUGAUUCACUGAAUUCUUGGUGCAAAUGCAUAUUUACGACACAAACAAGUCAGAUUCUUUAAAUUCCUGUAUUACUCUCCUUUUCCUUUGCAGCCUUCCCUCUCUCUCUCCCUCCCUCCCUCUCUCUCUCUCUCUCUCUCUCUCUCUCUCUCUCUCUGUUGUGUGGUUAGUAGUGUUUUUGGGACAAAAGUCAGCAGAAAAGUUCCAGCGUGGGUGUAACUGGGUGUCACUUCAACUACAGGCACUUUUGUCACAACAUUUUUCUUUUUGCUAUAUGUAACAUUAAAAUUUUGUUUCACAAUGGCAUAAUUUGUUUUUGCUACUUUUCAAAUACCUUUUAUCUAGAUUUUAUUAUUUUACAUUUGUCCAAGAUGUUUAAUCAUAGCAUAUGGAUAAUUGUUACUCAUUUUGUUUUAUUAUUUAAAUUUUGUGUUAUUUUUUUUUUUUUUUAAAUAUGAUAUUAAAUUAAUUCAAAUUAAUAAUUUUUAAAACUAUGAUACCAUUUUAAAAACUAU